GACAGAGGGUGCAAACGUUGUUCGGAAUUACUGGGCGUAAAGCGCGUGUAGGCGGCUAAGUAAGUCGGGCGUGAAAUCCCACGGCUCAACCGUGGAAGUGCACUCGAAACUGCAUAGCUAGAGUCCUGGAGAGGAAGGUGGAAUGCUUGGUGUAGAGGUGAAAUUCGUAGAUAUCAAGCGGAACACCGGUGGCGAAGGCGGCCUUCUGGACAGUGACUGACGCUGAGACGCGAAAGCGUGGGGAGCAAACAGGAUUAGAAACCCC
rnacentral:rRNA from 1 species